UAAUAAUAAUAAUUACUACGGUCUCAACAUAAUCGCCAUAAUCCCUACAUUAUUCACUUUUGCUAACAGCCCACCAUCACAUCAACCCACAUCAAUCACAGUUGGUCCACAUCUUCCCCAACCAUUCCCUACUGCACCAACACAAAAAAAAUUAAAAAACAAUCAAUAAGAGUGGCUGACAUCCACAAAGGAUGAGAGUUCUAUAUUCACUAUCAUAUCCACACUUGUAAUCGAUACAUCUUACUUUAAUAUAGUUGAGAAUCUACCUAUCACAUUGCCACCAAAGUCUAUCAUUCCAUAUGUUAUCAAUGUGGUAUCAAAUUUGAUAUCACCUACUCUUUUGCAUGACUAUAACGUUGACUUUGUUUUGAUAUUACCGUUAUUGCAUGAUGCUCCCUGGUUGCCACAUUAUUUUCCAAGGUAGUAUUCGAUUGCAAAGUUUUCAUACUGAUAUUAGGAUGUUGCCCAGUAAUUAUUGGCAUACUAUAUUAGCCCAUCAUUUUACUAUCAAUUUUCUUAAAUUUCAUGCCAAAUUAAAACAACAAAUUAUUUUCAACCAUGAAAUUUUUGAGCUUACUUUUAAGGUACAACAUAAGUGUGGAGACCCUAAUGAUAUGUAUUAUGCUUUAUUGUGUGUUUCAUUCAUUCGGUUUCCUAAACACAUGAAGAAAAAGAUUUUUCAUCAUGCGCAUAAAGAAAACAUUAUUAACUAGCCAGCACACUUUAACGAAAAUUACAUUUUUAUUGUGGAAGAAUUGUUUCCUUAUCAAGGUACAUUUAAGCCUUCAAUGUUGCAAUCAUUUUUUCUAUAGGCCAGUCUAUAGUGCUAGUUCCUUGUGCUCCUCUUUAUGCAUGACUAAAUGAAAAUUUUGUGGAUGGAAUUGCAUGAGUUUUUGGUUUUUGAAAUUCUUGUCAAAAUUUGGUUAGAAAGAGAGAUCGUCCCACUGCUUAGAUCACAAUCUUAAAGAUGAUUUGCAGCUUUAGUUGUCAUCAAGUGAUUAGCAUAGAUACCUAGUUAAUAAGAAAUAUCGUCCUCCUUGGUAUGAGUUCAGCAAGAUGUUCUCUAAGGUUCAAUAUAAGCAUCUGGUCAAGACAAAAGAUAGACUUCCUUGGAGUAUGAAGGUCCAACCUACUUCGUCAGAGUUGAGUUCUAUUAGUUCAGCUGAGAAGAAAUGAUGGAGAUCAAGAUUGGAAUAAAAAUAUACAGUUAUAGUUAUAGGAGUUCGUUUUAUUUUUAACUUUUUUGAGUUUAUUACCCUAUAAAUAGAGGGUCUGAUUCAUUCUAAUUCACAACCUCAAUUAUAUGAAUAAAGAUCGAUUUUUCGUCUUUGCCCUCAAUUCUUCUCUUCUUGGACUCCCUUUCUUUCAUAAUCUUCAAUUAUUCUUUAACAAGUUAUUCGCAUCUUGAGUCAAUUAGUUUCUAGAUUUUCUUUACUCUCAUUAUUUUUUAAGUAUUUUCAAAGUAUUCUAUAUAAAAUUUUGUAUCUUAAUUUUUCAAUUUAUAAUUACCUUCUCAAGGCAAAGCACAACUAAUUAGCCAGAUUGGGUUGCUAGACUCAUUCCUGUCACUCAUUUCCUUUUCACAAUUGACCUUGUUAAGCUGACGAUGAGCUGAAUCUUUUUCUUUUUUCUUUUUCUUUUUUUUUU
rnacentral:lncRNA from 1 species